rnacentral:rRNA from 1 species
UACGGAGGGUGCAAGCGUUAUCCGGAUUCACUGGGUUUAAAGGGUGCGUAGGUGGGUCGGUAAGUCAGUGGUGAAAUCUCUGGGCUUAACCCGGAAACUGCCAUUGAUACUAUCGAUCUUGAAUAUCGCGUAGGUAAGCGGAAUAUGUCAUGUAGCGGUGAAAUGCUUAGAUAUGACAUAGAACACCAAUUGCGAAAGGCAGCUUACUUCACGAUCAUUGACACUGAGGCACGAAAAGCGUGGGGGAGCAAACAGG